CCAGAUUGGAGGCUCCGUCCCGGAGCAGGGCCCACACGGAAUGCCGGAACACCUCCACGCUCACCAGGAGCAGCAGGCCUGCGGGAGAGGACAGGGACUCAGGUCUCCCCAAACGCUGGGGGAACACCACAGUCACCAAGGGUCAGGGUGCUGGCAACCAAGGGGACAAAAUUGCUUCUGCCCCGGAACUGCACAGCUCGCUUUCCACAGGCACAGGACUCGAUCACCACCGUCACCAUCACCGUCACUGCCAUCAUCAUCACUAACACCAGCAUCACAUCACCAACAUCACCAUUGCCACCACCACCACAGGUUGCCACAACUGUCAUCCCACUUUUGGGUAAUUCCUGUGAGACCUCGAUUACCAGCUUAACACUUUCUCGGAGGAGGUCCUCCAGCGUGCACCAGCACUGCUACAGUGUGCACCCUGAACGUGCUUCAUGGUACUCUCACCACAAUUGUAAUUGAACCAUUAUGUGUGUGACUAUCAGCCUUUCUCUCCCAGAAUCGAGGAGCCUUGACAGCAGACACAGCGCCUGUCUUAUUCAGUCUUGAGUCUCCAGCCUUGAUGUGGCCUGGACUAUACAGGUGCUCAUAAGCACACGAAGGAUAAAGAAAUGAAGCUUGUAUAAUUAACGAUUUUUCUUUCCACCCCGGAUAGGAUUUGAUUCAACAGAGAAAAUAAGACCCAGAAAAAAGAAGAAACUGUCCCAAGGUCACGUAUGAUCCAGGGCAUAGCUUAGGAUAAAACCUUGCCACUGGGUCUCCAGCUAAACAUUCGUUCCACAUAAGGUGCUCUGAGCCUACAUGGAACCCACAAGAACAUGGUUCCCCAACUGUAGUGCUCACUGCAGCAGAAAGAAGUUAGGUCUGGGGAGACCUGGUUUCAAGUUCCACCUCUGCCAGCA
rnacentral:lncRNA from 1 species